rnacentral:rRNA from 1 species
UACGUAGGGUGCAAGCGUUGUCCGGAAUUAUUGGGCGUAAAGAGCUCGUAGGCGGCUUGUCGCGUCGACUGUGAAAACCCGUGGCUCAACCAUGUGGUCUGCAGUCGAUACGGGCAGGCUAGAAUUCGGUAGGGGAGACUGGAAUUCCUGGUGUAGCGGUGAAAAUGCGUAGAUAUCUGGAGGAAUACCGGUGGCGAAGGCGGCAUCCUGGACCCGGCAUUGACGCUGAGGAGCGAAAAGCCAGGG